UUAAUCUAACUUUAGUAAUGAUAUUUUCUUGAAGUUCUUGAAAUUAAAGCUAAAUUGUUUACAAUAAUUAAUUCCAAAAUUUUCCAUAGAUUUUCAUGAUUUAUUGAGUCUGAUGCUGACUUGAUGCAAGCACCAUCCAACAUCUCAGAUGUUAGGAACUUGCCAGAAAAAAAUUGGACACUUUUCCAUAAAGAAGGGAUGUCAAAAGGCUUUUGCACAACUUCCAGUAUGUCCUCAAAGGCCCAUUGCCAUUAGCAGAAACGUUAGAGCAGACUACCUGGUUGCCACCUAGCCUAGGAAAUAAUGUGCAGUGUACAGUCUGGAAAAUAAGAAGAAUGGGUAAUGUGCCUGCACUUUUGAAAUUGCUGCUGAAUGUGUGAAUUAUAUUUCCACAGGUUGUCUGGUUGCAUUAAGUAUCUACUCCCUCCACAGGCAUCCACUGUUCUGGGAUAAUCCUGAGAAAUAUAAUCCAUUGAGGUUUAGCCCAGAAAAUUCAGAACAUAGGCACCACCAUUCCUUCAUACCAUUUUCUGUUGGACCAAGGAACUGCAUUGGUCAGCAUUUUGCCAUGAAUGAAAUGAAGGUGGCUGCUGCACUAAUUCUUAAUCGAUUUGAAUUGGAAGUUGAUGAAGCCAAUCCACCAAUUAAAACACCCCAAAUAGUCCUCCGGUCAAAAAAUGGAAUACGCCUGAAGACUAAAAAGCUGGAGAAGUAAAUCAGGAAAAAGAUAAUACAACUCUUCAGCAGUUUCCUUCUGCCAACUGACAAAAUUAGUAACUAUUUUUAAAGGAUCAGCUUCAAGAACAGACAAAUUAUUCUGAAAGUGGAUGAUGAUUUCACUGUAAAACAUUGGAGGGUCAACUUGAACUUUGUGCAGAAGUGUAAGAUAGAUAAUAGAAAAUCGGAAGUGAUAUAAAAUGGGCUGCUUAUUUGCUAUCAACAAGUUUACCAUUAAUUACCCUCUAGACUUCCCACCACAUUGAUUUUCUUCUGUUCUUCCUGUUCUUUUCCAUCGUCCUUUUGAAGGCUGGAUGUGUCGUCUCGAAGUUUCAGGAGUUAGUUUAUCAUCUUAUGCAAUGAUCCAUUUUUCUUGUAGAGAGAAGCCAAAAUUGUUCACUCAGAACAGAGAAUGUAAUGGAAUGAUUUGAUAAAGGUGUACAAAAUUAUGCAGAGUUUUGAGAGAAUGAAUUGAAAAACUAUUUUCAGUAACAAGAGAGUUGAUUGCCAAAAGGCAGAGAUUUAGAUAAUCAGCAAAAAAAAAGUAAAAAGAGAAGAUUCUUUAUUUAAUGAGUUGUCAUGGUCAGCAAUAUAUUGCCUGAAGGAGUGAUGGAAGCAAAUUCAAUAAUAAUUUUCAAAAGGAAUAGGAUACAUACUUGAAAAAGCUAUAGAAAAAGAGCGAAGGAGAAUAGACUAAUUAAAUAGUUGUUACAUUAUGCUAGCACAGGCACAAUAUGCUAAAUGACUUCCUUAUUUGCUCUAGAAAUCUAUGAUUAAAUGAUAUACACUAUCACACUAAGUCAACAUCCUUAUGACUUUAAUGGGUAUAAAAUACUGUUGAUAAUGUUUUUCACAACUUCUGCUGUGUCUUUUCGUAUGCUGUUGCAAACAAAAGUAUUGGAUAUGUAACAAUGACUGCAAUGCAGGAAUCUCAUCAAGUAAUUGAGGUGAUGACAAAAAUCAUUCAAUAAAGCUUGGACAGUUUACUUUUGUUACCAAAA